rnacentral:misc_RNA from 1 species
GAUGAAGAACGCAGCGAAAUGCGAUAAGUAAUGUGAAUUGCAGAAUUCAGUGAAUCAUCGAAUCUUUGAACGCACAUUGCGCCCGACAGUAUUCUGGCGGGCAUGCCUGUUCGAGCGUCAUUUCAACCAUCAAGCCCCAGGCUUGUGUUGGGGUCCUGCGGCUGCCGCAGGCCCUGAAAAACAGUGGCGGGCUCGCUGUCACACCGAGCGUAGUAAUACAUCUCGCUUUGGACGUGCGGCGGGUUCUUGCCGUUAAACACCCCCCUUCUCAAGGUUGACCUCGGAUCAGGUAGGAAUACCCGCUGAACUUAAGCAUAUCAAUAAGCGGAGGA